rnacentral:tRNA from 1 species
GGAGAUGUAGUUCAGUUGGUAGAAUGCUUGCCUAGCAUGCAUAAAGCCCUGGGUUUGACCCUCAGCACCA